rnacentral:rRNA from 1 species
GACGAACGCUGGCGGCGUGCCUAAUACAUGCAAGUUGAGCGCUGAAGGUUGGUACUUGUACCGACUGGAUGAGCAGCGAACGGGUGAGUAACGCGUGGGGAAUCUGCCUUUGAGCGGGGGACAACAUUUGGAAACGAAUGCUAAUACCGCAUAAAAACUUUAAACACAAGUUUUAAGUUUGAAAGAUGCAAUUGCAUCACUCAAAGAUGAUCCCGCGUUGUAUUAGCUAGUUGGUGAGGUAAAGGCUCACCAAGGCGAUGAUACAUAGCCGACCUGAGAGGGUGAUCGGCCACAUUGGGACUGAGACACGGCCCAAACUCCUACGGGAGGCAGCAGUAGGGAACCUUCGGCAAUGGACGAAAGUCUGACCGAGCAACGCCGCGUGAGUGAAGAAGGUUUUCGGAUCGUAAAACUCUGUUGGUAGAGAAGAACGUUGGUGAGAGUGGAAAGCUCAUCAAGUAACGGUAACUACCCAGAAAGGGACGGCUAACUACGUG